AGUGUAUUUGGAUUGUUUUCGGAACUUUCCUUGGUGGAUUUGUCUGUCUGUAGAGAUUGAUUGUGAAAGUAGUUUAUUUUUCUUGACGAUCGAAGGCCCGAAGCAAACCCAAGGUUCACAUUUCGAUCGAGCGAGAGAGAUUUGUCGGAAUUCAACGUGAUCUUUAUUGAUCGAUCAACAUGAGUUUUCUAUUCGGCAAGAGGAAGACACCUGCAGAGAUUGGUGAUGUGCCCCCACCCAAGUGAAGGAUAGUCGAUAUCUUUUGAAAGGAGCACUAAGGCUCUUUUGUUGUUUAUGAGCCACAACUAUGGAGCUUAUUUGUCUCGAGUUAAUGUUUCCUAAUUUUGUGUAAUUAAGGCCAUAGCCUUGAAAGAUGUAAGUCAUCAGGGUAUUUUUAUUUGCAUUUCUCUUACUCUUUGAACUAUUUGUGUAUUUAUUUUGUUUUUUUGGAAAGAUCCGAAUGUAAUGUGAACAUGUAUCACUUUUGAGAAGUUCAAGGAGGAAGAGAAGUACUUUUCAGGUA